rnacentral:lncRNA from 1 species
AAAGUAUGAAGUCAUCUUUCUCAUUGCUCUCCUCUUUAAGUCCAAGAGCAAAGUACUUCUAAAAGGCAGGCUUUGUGGUUCGCAUGGAAUGUAAAUAGCUCAAAUGGCCCCACUUCCAAGAAGCCUUCUUUAACCCUAAGGCUGAAUGAAGUAAGUGCAUUCUUUUGUUUUCUACUGUAUUCCCAGCAAUACUUUGAUCGCACAAACUCCCAUCUCUAGAGAGUGCUCUGAUUUUUCCUCUCAUUCAUUCCAAGAAGAAAGGUCAAUAUCAAGGACUAUGUAGGACCAAGGGCCUUUUUGGGGGGUGGUGAUAUAAAUUUCAGUGCUGUGAGAGAAGAUAGAAGAUGUUCUAGUAACCUCUAAUUUACAUAUGGGUGUCAGUGAAAAUGAGAUUCAAAUUUGGAGUUGUUUGGAAAGAGACACGUGUGUUCUUCAUGGUACUACAAGUCAACCAGAUGGAGGGAGGGUACAAUGUUGGGUGAAAGUUGAAGGACAGAGGCAAAGCUGGGGUCCUGUUUUCCUCUCUGCUUGGUACCCUGGAAGAUCUGGUCUCACCUGGUAUGAUUGGCUAGGGAGCUUUUACAACUCAGAGGAACCCAAAGAGAACUUAAGCUCUUGUUUUCUGUCAUCUUUUCCUCCCCUGCCUGUUCUUAAAAGAAUCUAUUCCUGUUUCCCUAGUUUAAAAAUAAUUGUACUCUCUGUUGCUUUGUAGACAUUUUCAUUCUGAUUUGAGUUGCUUGAUUCUGAUAUUUGACCUGUGCUCUGUAUAAUAUUUCUAUUAUUUUCAAACUUGCCUUGAUGAUCGAUGUUCUCUGGUCUGUACAAUUUCCCAUUUAUUAAGAUGCCACAUGUUAUAUCAUUGCUGUGAAUUUCAUCCUCUGGAAAUUUUCCUUGGCUUAAAGCUAUAUCAGGUCAGAAAAAUGUGGCUACAUGACAUUUUAAUAGAAUGUAAACAAAUACUUUAGAGGUCACUGUUUACUUCUGAGAUUCUGGGGUUCAGACUUCUUAGAGGGCUGCAGCCUUAGAGGGGGGGAUAAAGACUAUUUUGGAAACAGCAUCACCUCAUGCCAGCCUGGAAAUCAACACCAGGAUAGGGAGUACUAAGAGAGCAGGCUGUCUUCUUACCACUGCCUUUUAAUUUGAUCAAGAUAUGGCUACACAUUUAUAAUUUUUUAAUUAAAAAUCUGUAUGGAAGGAGAGAGCUCAUGGCUACCCCAGAAACCAUGGUAAACAUUUAGAAACUGCUAAUCUGUCUAUGGAGUUCAUUUGAAAGAGAGAGAAGAACUGCAGAAAAGGACUGUGAUCCAAGUGCCUUUAAAGAUAUGACUGUGCACAUUUUUCCUGCACAGUCUUGUGCAUCAACUUCUGCUCAUUUUUUUUUUUUAAGGCCAGUGUUCAAAACAACAUUUGGGAUAUUUGCCUGACUUUUGUGUGACUCUCGAGAUGGGUUCAAAUCCAUGGAUUAAUGAAAAUAACUGGCCUAUAGCAAAUGCUGAAAAUGUUUUUGCAAACAUGGGCCAAAUUUUAGUUUUAUUAUAAAAUGUAAAUGGUUUUGAGUUUUGUACUAACAUAUCAUACAAAAGUAAUAUGCUGUUCUUCCAGAUGGGUUCAGUGUCUAUGGCAUGCUGUCUGCUACUCUAACAUGUAGUUGAUAUAGAGGAUGAUGGUGAGGGAGGGACAGAAGUUUGUUCUUAUGUGGGGAAAUAUGAAGGCUUUGUGGUUUAUGGCAAGUAAGAGCUAGAUUAAAAAAAAAUACCACUGUAAUAGCAGCUUUAUCUAAAUAGUUUUAGGGAAAAUGGCAAAGAACCAAUAUUUUACUGAAUGAUUCAUGCUAGGCAUUGUGCUUUGUGCUUGACAUGUAUUAUCUUGUUCAUCAUCACAGUAAUCUGUGAGAUGGGUAUUCAUUUUCCUUUUAACUGGGAAUUCAUUUGACUUUGGAUUCUACAAAUCAUCUCUUUGUCCUGGUUACAUAUUAGAUAUGUGUAUUUGAAUAUCUAUUAAACAAAGGAUGCAUUGUUGGCAAGAGUCAAAAAUAUCUUCCAUUUAGAAGCUGACCUGACUUGAUUAUGUUUCCAGUUUAUGCAUAGGUCUGCAAAUACAGAACUGCAGGUCGUUUACUGUACGAAUCCUUGUUCAGGCAACAAGUGGGGUUAUAAUCCAAACCGUAGUCCACUUGCCAUGGUGCAUGCUUUGGUCAAGAUUGUGUCUGCUGGGAGGAAGCACCUUUUUCUAGUUUGCUUAUCUGUAUUUGCUGUGACUCUGCUGAUGCAGAUCCCUUGCAGCAAAGGAACAGCCCAGGAAAGAAACUUUGAAACUUUAGUAUCCUCUUGGUCCUGGUAUCUUGGGAUGUUUGUCUCUUCAUUUUCCCCUUCUUUGUCAUAUGUCUUGGGCCUAUCCCUUGGAACUCCAUUUGUCCUGACUGCUGGUCUCACUAUGGGACUGGACAGGAAAAUGGCUGGUCUGAGUAACCUCCUUCUCUUCCUCUCUCCACUUACCACUGGGCCUGGGGAGUGGGCACUGAUCCAAUGUCUCUUGACCUUUUCUAGGCAUUGCUUUUUAUCAACUGCUUAGUGCAUAUUCACAUUAUCCUUAUAUUCUUUCCCCUAAAACUCCAUAGAUGGCCAGGAAUGUAUACAUGUAUUUAAAACCCCAGAGUUUCAAACUUUGGGAAAUAGUUUAAAGAAAAAAUUGAUUGAAAUGCUGUCGAUUCUUUAGCAAAUAUGUAUAGCUACAUAGAUAAAUGAGUUUUAAAAAAAUACAAAGAGGAAAGGAUUGUAAAUUAAUUUAAAAAUGUUCAUUAAACAUCUGCUUGAUCUGCAUGUAGCAGUAUAUUACAUGCAGAAACAGAAUACGAAAAAAUUAAGAUGUGAAAAUGAAAUUAUAAUUUAGUUUAAAAAGAUGUGAAAACCAUCAAUGUAACAUAUCUCAUAUUUAACCUAAGUGUUCGGAGACAGGGACACCAUGGUAUCAGAUAUGUUCUCCAAGCUCUGACUCUUAUGUUCCAUGCCAUCCUGCAAAGUUGGCUGAUCUUUGGUCUUCAUUUCCUUUAUCUGUAAGUGAAACUCAGCUCUGUAAUAUCUUCCUCCCAGGAUAUUAUGUGCCUGGAAUGAGAUAAUGGAUGCACAAUACUUUAAAACGUAUAAAGCUCUUUAUAUAUUUAAGUAAACCUUAACAUUAAUCAUCUUUUGCUCUUUACAAAGAAAGAUGAAAAGAGUACUGAUAGUUUCUUUCAAAAAAUAAUUUUUCUUUUUUGAAUAACAUAUUUCGUGUGAAAAAUGUGGCAAGACUAAGGUAUAAAGUAAAAUAUAAAAAAAACCCACAAAAUAAACUAUAACCCCCCAGUGAUAAGUAUGGUUCAUGUUUAUAUAUGAUUUUUAAAAUCUUCUAUAAAUUUACAUUAAUUUUUCAAAGCUGAUAUACUGUUAUAUACAAUUUUAAACCUAUUAUUCAACUUUAUAUCAGUUUAAAGCUUUUAUAGAAAGCAAAAAAAAAAAAUUAAACAAACAAAAAAGGAGUUCCCAUCAUGGCUCAGUGGUAAUGAACCCAACUAGUAUGCAUGAGAACAUGGGUUCAAUUCCUGGCCUCACUCAGUGGUUUAAGGAUCCCACAUUGCCGUGAGCUUCAGUGUAGGUCACAGAUACAGCUUGGUUCUGGCAUUGCUGUGGCUGUGGUGCAGGUAAGCAGCUGCAGCUCUGAUUCAACCCCUAGCCUGGGAACUUCCAUUUGCCAUGGGUGUGGCCCU